AUGUUUGGCUGUUAAAAAGAAUCAUAUAGAUAACUCAAUGUAGCGGAGAUGAGGAUGUUGAGAUAGAUGAGUGGCAAAACUAGGAAGGAUAAAGUAAGGAAUGAUCAUA